GUGCUCCCUUCAGCAGCACAUAAACUAAAAUUGGAAGGAUGCAGAGCAGGUUACCGUGGCUCCUGUGCAAGUGUGACUUGCAAACUCAUGAAGCAUUCUAUCUUUUU
ensembl:snRNA U6 U6 spliceosomal RNA